GUACCUAUGGUGUAGCGGUUAUCACAUCCGCCUAACACGCGGAAGGUCCCAGGUUCGAUCCCUGGUAGGUACA